UUUGUGUUUUAUUAUGCGAUCGUGUACAGUGCAUUUUUUGACAUGUAUAUGUGUGUUUAUCACGAGCUGGUUUGCGUUGAAAGACAGCAUAAGUGCUUUUCAUCUUCAUAUACUACUUUGCGUUAUCGGGUAUCAAUUGCUAAUAUCCAACGGAAUUAACUGCCUUCAUGGAGACAGAUGGUUCAGCUCUAGACUUAAAAAUCGUCGUCGAAUGCACUGGAUUUUACAAACUUUAGGGUCUAUAUUGGCAAUACUUGGAUCCUGCAUUAUGAUAAAGCAGAAAACGGUUAAUUUUACGUCUAUACAUGGAAAAUUAGCGUUAGCAGCACUCAUCUUGACCCUCUUCAGCAUUUUCAACGGAGUUACAUCGCUGUGCAACGCUUUUCGCCGAUUUUCCUUUGUAAAGUACAGUCACCUCUUCUGCGGCACCAGUGCCUUUGUAAUUUCCUCAAUUUGCCUAUGUUUCGGCUUCACCAAGGAGUCUUUUAUACGGUGGUCUUCAGAAUUCACAGCUUACAUUUUGAUUCUACUAGUUCUGGUUUAUACCGGUAUUAUUGUGCGGAAACCAUAUCGUAAUGUAUGGAGGUUUUUAAACAAUAAAACAAAUGUUAAAUUACAUAGAAAUCUUAUUAGUUAUUCAAGGUAAAAAAUGUUUGUAUACAAUAUUUUUUGUAUCAAUAGUUUUUGUAAAUGGAGUAAAUACUUUUGAUAUAUAUUCCAUUUUCAAUAAGGAAUUCUAUAAAUUUAAUUUUAGGAUAAUGUAAAACAUAGGUUACUUUAUAUUAUCUGUAAUAUUUUGGGUUGUAAACGUAAAAUAUUGACUGAUUAACGACAAUAACAAUCUGAUAAAAUAUCAAUAGUACUUAGUUAUUACAUUGAUUGAAUUGAAUCGAAAUAUAGAAAAUGUUUCCAUAUUUUUAAAUGUUAAUCAUACAUUUGUAUGAAAAUAAAAAUAACUAGAGGCGAUAUUGUUUUCGACAUAUCAAUUUUGCGUAAACAGGUAUUAUUGAAGCUUCAACUAAAAUAAAACAUUUCCCAGUAUUUCAUUCAACUGUAACUAUAGUUAAGUGAUAUUAUAAUAUUUUAAAAUUGACGUGAAUAAAUUGAACUAUAUAUUGUUUU